rnacentral:rRNA from 1 species
AACGAACGCUGGCGGCAGGCCUAACACAUGCAAGUCGAGCGCCCUUUCGGGGGAGCGGCGGACGGGUGAGUACCGCGUGGGAAUAUGCCCUUCUCUACGGAAUAGCCUCGGGAAACUGAGAGUAAUACCGUAUACGCCCUGUGGGGGAAAGAUUUAUCGGGGAAGGAUUAGCCCGCGUUGGAUUAGGUAGUUGGUGGGGUAAUGGCCUACCAAGCCGACGAUCCAUAGCUGGUUUGAGAGGAUGAUCAGCCACACUGGGACUGAGACACGGCCCAGACUCCUACGGGAGGCAGCAGUGGGGAAUCUUAGACAAUGGGGGCAACCCUGAUCUAGCCAUGCCGCGUGAGUGAUGAAGGCCUUAGGGUUGUAAAGCUCUUUCAGCUGGGAAGAUAAUGACGGUACCAGCAGAAGAAGCCCCGGCUAACUCCGU